rnacentral:rRNA from 1 species
GUGAUUCUUUCUAGUCUCCAUAACUAGAUCAGUGGGCCUCUAGUGUUCCUAUAUCUGGCUUUAUCGCCUGGUAUAGUUGAGCUUGAGCAUAACUGCCUAGAGCCCCUGACUUCAUCCUUGUCUUUGUGCACCUAUGUUUCCUCGGUGGGCUUGCCUGCCGACUGGACAAUCUAAAACCUUUGAAUUUUAAUCAGCGUCUGAAACAAACUUAAUAAUUACAACUUUCAACAACGGAUCUCUUGGUUCUGGCAUCGAUGAAGAACGCAGCGAAAUGCGAUAAGUAGUGUGAAUUGCAGAAUUCAGUGAAUCAUCCAAUCUUUGAACGCACAUUGCGCCCCUUGGUAUUCCAUGGGGCAUGCCUGUUCGAGCGUCAUUUGUACCCUCAAGCCUUGCUUGGUGUUGGGUGUUUGUCCUCUCUACAUGUUUGGACUCGCCUCAAAACAAUUGGCAGCUAAUGAAAUGGUUUUUGAGCGCAGCACAUUUUGCGCUUAUAGCUAUAUCAUUUGCAUCCAGUAAGCCUAUAUAUAACGCUUGACCUCGGAUCAGGUAGGGAUACCCGCUGAACUUAAGCAUAUCAAAGCCGGGAGGAAAAA